rnacentral:rRNA from 1 species
CUGAAUAGGGCGCUUAGUCAGAUGCUGCAGACCCGAAACGAAGUGAUCUAUCCAUGAGCAAGUUGAAGCUAGUGUAAGAACUAGUGGAGGACUGAACCCAUAGGCGUUGAAAAGCCCCGGGAUGACUUGUGGAUAGGGGUGAAAGGCCAAUCAAACUUCGUGAUAGCUGGUUCUCUCCGAAAUAUAUUUAGGUAUAGCGUUGUGUCGUAAUAUAAGGGGGUAGAGCACUGAAUGGGCUAGGGCAUACACCAAUGUACCAAACCCUAUCAAACUCCGAAUACCUUAUAUGUAAUCACAGCAGUCAGGCGGCGAGUGAUAAAAUCCGUCGUCAAGAGGGAAACAACCCAGACUACCAGCUAAGGUCCCUAAAUCUUACUUAAGUGGAAAACGAUGUGAAGUUACUUAAACAACCAGGAGGUUGGCUUAGAAGCAGCCAUCCUUUAAAGAAAGCGUAAUAGCUCACUGGUCUAGUGAUUUUGCGCGGAAAAUAUAACGGGGCUAAAGUAAGUACCGAAGCUGUAGACUUGCGCACAACUUAGAUUAUUUAAGUUUAGAAUAUGAGAAACUAAGUUAUAUGUUUAGUUAUAUUUUUACUGAUUUUUAUAGAGUAAAGAUAGAAAUAAAACUUAGUAAAAUCAGUAAAAAUAUUCUUAGACUAAAGUUAAGUAGUUUAAGUUGUGUGCAAGUGGUAGGAGAGCGUUCUAUUUGCGUCGAAGGUAUACCGGUAAGGAGUGCUGGAGCGAAUAGAAGUGAGCAUGCAGGCAUGAGUAGCGAUAAUUAAUGUGAGAAUCAUUAACGCCGUAAACCCAAGGUUUCCUACGCGAUGCUCGUCAUCGUAGGGUUAGUCGGGUCCUAAGUCGAGUCCGAAAGGGGUAGACGAUGGCAAAUUGGUUAAUAUUCCAAUACCAACAUUAGUGUGCGAUGGAAGGACGCUUAGGGCUAAGGGGGCUAGCGGAUGGAAGUGCUAGUCUAAGGUCGUAGGAGGUUAUACAGGCAAAUCCGUAUAACAAUACUCCGAGAACUGAAAGGCUUUUUGAAGUCUUCGGAUGGAUAGAAGAACCCCUGAUGCCAUCGAGCCAAGAAAAGUUUCUAAGUUUAGCUAAUGUUGCCCGUACCGUAAACCGACACAGGUGGGUGGGAUGAGUAUUCUAAGGCGCGUGGAAGAACUCUCUUUAAGGAACUCUGCAAAAUAGCACCGUAUCUUCGGUAUAAGGUGUGGUUCGCUUCGUAUUAGGAUUUACUCCGAAAGCGAAGAAACUUACAACAAAGAGUCCCUCCCGACUGUUUACCAAAAACACAGCACUCUGCUAACUCGUAAGAGGAUGUAUAGGGUGUGACGCCUGCCCGGUGCUCGAAGGUUAAUUGAUGGGGUUAGCAUUAGCGAAGCUCUUGAUCGAAGCCCGAGUAAACGGCGGCCGUAACUAUAACGGUCCUAAGGUAGCGAAAUUCCUUGUCGGUUAAAUACCGACCUGCAUGAAUGGCGUAACGAGAUGGGAGCUGUCUCAAAGAGGGAUCCAGUGAAAUUGUAGUGGAGGUGAAAAUUCCUCCUACCCGCGGCAAGACGGAAAGACCCCGUGGACCUUUACUACAGCUUGACACUGCUACUUGGAUAAGAAUGUGCAGGAUAGGUGGGAGGCUUUGAGUAUAUGACGCCAGUUGUAUAUGAGCCAUUGUUGAGAUACCACUCUUUCUUAUUUGGGUAGCUAACCAGCUUGAGUUAUCCUCAAGUGGGACAAUGUCUGGUGGGUAGUUUGACUGGGGCGGUCGCCUCCCAAAUAAUAACGGAGGCUUACAAAGGUUGGCUCAGAACGGUUGGAAAUCGUUCGUAGAGUAUAAAGGUAUAAGCCAGCUUAACUGCAAGACAUACAAGUCAAGCAGAGACGAAAGUCGGUCUUAGUGAUCCGGUGGUUCUGUGUGGAAGGGCCAUCGCUCAAAGGAUAAAAGGUACCCCGGGGAUAACAGGCUGAUCUCCCCCAAGAGCUCACAUCGACGGGGAGGUUUGGCACCUCGAUGUCGGCUCAUCGCAUCCUGGGGCUGGAGCAGGUCCCAAGGGUAUGGCUGUUCGCCAUUUAAAGCGGUACGCGAGCUGGGUUCAGAACGUCGUGAGACAGUUCGGUCCCUAUCUGCCGUGGGCGUAAGAAGAUUGAAGAGAUUUGACCCUAGUACGAGAGGACCGGGUUGAACAAACCACUGGUGUAGCUGUUGUUCUGCCAAGAGCAUCGCAGCGUAGCUAAGUUUGGAAAGGAUAAACGCUGAAAGCAUCUAAGCGUGAAGCCAACUCUAAGAUGAAUCUUCUCUAAGCUCUCUAGAAGACUACUAGUUUGAUAGGCUGGGUGUGUAAUGGAUGAAAGUCCUUUAGCUGACCAGUACUAAUAGAGCGUUUGGCUUAUCUUUAAUAAAGCAU